UUUUUAAUUAAAAAAAAACAAACAUACAAUGAAGUUGAACAAAUAAUUUAUUGAUGCAUGCUUAAUAUUCAUUAACUAUUAAUUCCAUAAAUCCUUUUCAGUAAAUGGCACUCAUCCUCAAAUUGUUAUUGCAUAAGAAAAGAUACAUCGGUCUUGAAAAAAUUCCGGGCACUUGCUGAUCAUCUCUAUCGGUAAUAACUACACAAAAUGAAAACACUAAGAUAAUCGGGUGAGGUUUUAAUUUGCGCCUAUUGAUUGAUUGUAAGGGGAAAAAAAAAACAAAAUCGGGGGGAGGAAAAUUAUGUGUUUUUUAGAAGGCCAACUGAGUAACCAGCCCGCAUGAACUACACCAAUCACUCUUCGCACCCUCACUUGCUUCACCAAAUUACAACGAUCGUUCGCGAGAGCCAUCACGUUUGCCAUGGCAACAAUGAGAUCCGGAUAAUAAUUAAGGCGGUGAGCUUUUUUUAUGUAACAAAAAUCCCAGAUAAAAGUAUUUUCUCAGGUUUUGGAAAAUCCAGGCGAAGUUAGAUUUCUUAUAAAUAAUAUAAAUGGGUAAAGUCAACUUUGGGCCGUCGUACGUAUUCUGCUUUGAUGAUGCCGCUGUUACAAAAAACGAUCGUCACCACAGUCGAGGGCGUAGAGCACAUGCAAAUAAUGAUAUAAAAAGUAUGCAGGUACUUGACAAUUAAGUGCAUGAUCUAUUAGAAAAAAUUUCUAAUAAGAUAAAAUUUUCAUAUUGUUUUUUUGAUAAAAAAAAACAUGAUAUAUUUUUGCGUAUGUAAAGUAAUAUUAUAAAAAAUAAUUUGCCAACGUGAGCAACCGUAAUGCUCGGCAACCGAAUAACCCGUAUUUUCACAGAUAUUGAAGCACCUUGAUAGUACUCGAUCCAGGAAGAACGGGCUUAGCAAAAGUACCAGGCCGCGAACACUUGUUCUCAUUAUGAAGAACCAAGUAUAGGAGACAAUAACGGCAUAAUCGAAUUUGUUGGAGUAGUAAAAUAAAGGUUAAUUAAGUAUGAAGAGAGGAAGGUCGUAAAUAUUAACAGAUAUUAUUCUAUAAAUAAUGACAUAAAACUUUACUACUUUGAGUUGUAAAAAUUAUUAUUGGGUUGGGGAAAUGGGAUGUAUAAGAAACAGUCAUUUUCGCUUCAGAGUCAUAAGGUAGAGAUGUCCGGCCACCAAUUUUAACACUCAAGUCCUCAGUUGAAGAUGGCAACCCGAGAAAACGAGAUAAAUGGUGACGUAAGAUCUAAGAUCUAAUUUAUUUAUUUUUUAUUUUCGGGGUGGGUUGGGAGAAACGAAAGUAUGAUUUUAAGUCGCAGGAAACUACUAGAACACACACGAAAAAAGCGGAGAAAGUAAACAUGUGAGAAGAGAAAGUCAAUAUUACGAGUUUUAUCAGAAAAAUACCAUAUUACAUCUGGAUUCAGGUAUCAUUCAUUUAUCAUUCGAACAAAUAUCGCGUUUUUUUUUUGUUUUUUAUUGUGCAGAUAAGGACGAGUAUAUCCGAGAAACCAGAGAGUAUCGAGCCAAAAAAAUUUAGAUCAGGAAUCAUAAGAAAUGGAACAAACCAUUAAUUUAAUAUCAUAUAUAUGUUGUAUUUAUAUUUAAAAAAAAAAAAAAAAAAAAAACCCAAAACGCAAAACGCAACGUGAUAGAAGGAGGAUAAAACAUCAUUGAAUUAUUUAAGCUUCAGAAAUACUUAACGCAACGGCUGAAAAAGUAAUCAAUAAUAAAGCUUAGUGGAUUUAAAAGCUUAUUACGGUCAUUCCAGAGUAUAGAGGUAAAAAGUGAAAUUUCAUCUUUAGAUCUUGUCUUCUUCCCAACUUUAUUUAUUUUCUUACACAAUUUUAUUUUUAUACGCGAAAUGAUUAUGUUUUUUGUGAGGGAGGUAGCGAUUUGUCUUAUAGCACAGAAAACGUAGAAGAAUAAAUUAACUUUGUUUGAAACAAAAAACAGCAGUAGCCAAGACAUAUAAAUGGAAUAUUUAUAAAACGAAAUUAACGGAAAGAGGAAGUAGCAAUGAAGAAUAUAAAAAAAAUUCUUAAUUUAUUUAGUAAAUUUAACAAUUGAGACCAAAAACAACCGUUGACGAUCGAAUAAAAUAUGAAUAAAAAAUUAAAAAGGUUCCCCUUGGAAAUUGAUAGCAACUUUCAGACGUAACGUUUAAUCCGUAAAAUACAGAAAAAAAAUUUAAUACGCCUUGACCGACUGGCUUUUGCAAACCAUUUAAAAGAAUCUAGCGAAGUUUAAAUAAUCUGGAAAUUUUUUUAUAGCAAGAAAGGCUUUUAUUGAAAUGAGAAUUAAUUACUUCCUAUUAGUAUCGAGAAUGGAUUUUGCAUCUUAAACUAGAAUUAUGCAUCCCUUCACAUGAAAAAUUUGAUUCAUCUACCAAAAAAAAAAAAACUUUUAUUGUGUAUUACCAUUACAACUGCCAUAACUUCCUACUUCUGUUGGCGUUUUUGUGGAUUGUUAUAAAACGAGCGUUAGUUUUAACGUGUUUUUAUUUCUAUUUAAAUCGUGUUAAUAAUUUUUUUGUGAAGUUGAGUUUGUUUAAAUUGCAAAAUGUUUAUCAUAUUAUGUUUUAAAGUUUUGUGAACAAACUUCUUACUUCGUUUUUGUUUACUUAUGUAUUUAUUUACAAUAAUUUGUUGUACACACAAGUAGCGCAUAAAAAUUUAAAUAGUUGUGUAGUGCGGUCACUGUUAAUUACGUGCAAGUUUUGAAUAAUUUAAUUAUGAAGUUUAUAAUUGUUACAUAUAUUCAUCACAUUAUGUAAUUUUGCUGCAAUGCUAAUAUCUGCUGGUAAUGAGCCUAUAUUUAUUAUUAUGUGUUAUGCGAAUGUUUGUAAACACAUUUAGGGUGAAUUGUUUAAAAUGCUGUAAAAAUAAUAUUGUCCUUAUACUCACUUAAUCAAAAAAUUAAUUGACAGUUUUUUCACACUGCUCGUAUUGUGAUUGGAUAAAAAAUAAUUAUAUAAAAGUAAUCAUUUUCCUUGUUUGAAUGUUAAAAAGUUCUAUAUAUGGUGUAAAAUUAGAAUCGUGGCUUUAUCUAUAUUUGUUGCUAGAACUAUCGGUGAGUUAUUUAUAAUCAUUUAUAAUUAGAAUUGUAAUUUUUAUUAUUAAUCUCUUUUUAUGAAAAUAUUUUCUUAAUUAACGUUUACGUAGCUCCGCAGUUAACACAUUGUUUCUUUGUAUAAUAUUGUUCACACAUAAAAAAAUUAAUUAAUGCAUUGUUCUGCUGACAAUUGUAAAUGUUAGGUACUUAAUACUGAAUAAGUAUUUUAGUACCCGCGACACGCUUUUAUAAUAAUAAAUUGAUAUUUUAUUGGUGGGUUGGGGCUGGGGGUCUACUAAUUAUUUUACGAGUUCCAAAGUAUUUUCAGAACCAUACUCAUUUAAGUGAUUAAUAUUUAGAUAUAUUAUUAUUACUCCUGUUUUGUGAUGCCAUUAUUACUUGUUCGUUGAAAAAAAAAAAAAAAAAAAAAAAAAACUGCAGCAGUUAUUACCAUCUAUAUAUAUAUAAACUGCCUUCGUAUUACGCAGAGCACAGCAUUGGAUUACGCUAAUGUAACGUUUUUUGGGCCACCUACUAUGUUGAUAUCUAUUUACAAUUACUUACUAUACCUAGGCAUGCAAACUGGCUGUUGCUCUUUUUUGUAAUUUUUAAAUACUUGUAAUUAAAUACGCCUAUCACGAUAAACCAUUCGUCCGCUUGGAGAAGAUUGGCACUGCAUAUAAUUAAUGAUGAGUAUUAGGCAAUUUAAAGUAUUUAAUAUAUUUUCAAAAAUUAAUUAUUGAUUGAACAAAAAAAAUCAAAAACAGGUACGCACUUUAGAUUCUUCCUUUUAAUGUAUUUUAAUUAAUUUUGCACAAAUGGAUAUGUUAGCAUAUGUGGUGCAUUGAAAAGCAAAUUGACUUGGCUAUUAAAUUAGGAUAGGAUCAGAAGAUAAUGUUAUUACUUUUAUUAACAAGAAACCAACUAUUGAAGAUGAGUGACCAUACUAAGCGAUCCAUUUUCUUACGUAUUUUGAAGAUUAUUACUUACAACCGAAGAGUAUACUAGAAAUUCAAAAGAUGAUCAUUUUUGUAGAAGAUAAUACUUAAAAUUAUUUUUCUUAUUAUUAUUAUUAUUGCAUUUUAAAAACUGUGUGUUAGUAUGAUAUAAUGCUUAUGAACAUACGUGAGUUGAAUAUUUCCUUUUAUAUCCCAUUAGUUUUCCUGCUAACCGAGUGUUUUUAGAAAACUACUUGGAGACUGACUUCUAAAACAGUUUGAGACAUGAGGAUGGUGAUGGUUGGACGGUGAUAAGCAGACCUGGCUGAGAGGUUUGGUCGUGAGCUAGCACAGUUGGGCGUUCGUUCAUUCUUCAUCUCAUCCCGAUGGUCUUCGGAGUCCAGCCAUCGUCUUAGAUAGGGCAUAGAAUUCACAUCCGAGUUCAUCGCCCGGUUGCGGUCUGACUCCCAGCAGCAGAUCUUCCGGAAUUGCGGCGUGAUAACGGCAUCAGACACACUCGCAUGGGUUUCCUUGGCGGUUUGAGACUCUCUUGUCGACGGGACACGCGUUACCUGGGGCUUAUUUCGUACACCCGAGCACACCUGAACGCACACGGUCGAGACGGUCUUGGUGAUAGUUCAAUAGACGAAAGGGUUAAGGAUUUUCUUUGAGCAGGAAUCUGACUGGGGCAUCCGGAUGAAUGCAGAGUUCCAGCUAAAACGUAUCUUCUUUUUAUUUUUUUAAAUAUGAUUAUACAUAUUGGACUCGCAAUCACUUAUUUCGAGGAUUAUUUUUUUAACAAUUUCAUUUUAUGUUUGUUUUUUUGUUAUCUAACAU
rnacentral:lncRNA from 1 species